rnacentral:rRNA from 1 species
UUUUAUGGAGAGUUUGAUCCUGGCUCAGGAUGAACGCUGGCGGCGUGCCUAAUACAUGCAAGUCGAGCGAACGGAUGAGAAGCUUGCUUCUCUGAUGUUAGCGGCGGACGGGUGAGUAACACGUGGAUAACCUACCUAUAAGACUGGGAUAACUUCGGGAAACCGGAGCUAAUACCGGAUAAUAUUUUGAACCGCAUGGUUCAAAAGUGAAAGACGGUCUUGCUGUCACUUAUAGAUGGAUCCGCGCUGCAUUAGCUAGUUGGUAAGGUAACGGCUUACCAAGGCAACGAUGCAUAGCCGACCUGAGAGGGUGAUCGGCCACACUGGAACUGAGACACGGUCCAGACUCCUACGGGAGGCAGCAGUAGGGAAUCUUCCGCAAUGGGCGAAAGCCUGACGGAGCAACGCCGCGUGAGUGAUGAAGGUCUUCGGAUCGUAAAACUCUGUUAUUAGGGAAGAACAUAUGUGUAAGU